rnacentral:rRNA from 1 species
AGUGAACGCUGGCGGUAGGCCUAACACAUGCAAGUCGAACGGCAGCACAGUAAGAGCUUGCUCUUACGGGUGGCGAGUGGCGGACGGGUGAGGAAUACAUCGGAAUCUACUUUUUCGUGGGGGAUAACGUAGGGAAACUUACGCUAAUACCGCAUACGACCUACGGGUGAAAGCAGGGGAUCUUCGGACCUUGCGCGAUUGAAUGAGCCGAUGUCGGAUUAGCUAGUUGGCGGGGUAAAGGCCCACCAAGGCGACGAUCCGUAGCUGGUCUGAGAGGAUGAUCAGCGACACUGGAACUGAGACACGGUCCAGACGACUACGGGACGCAGCAGUGGGGAAUAUUGGACAGUGGGGGCAAGCCUGAUCCAGCCAUAGCGAGUGGGUGAAGAAGGCCUUCGGGUUGUAAAGACCUUUUGUUGGGAAAGAAAAGCAGCAGGUUAAUACCCCGCUGUUCUGACGGUACCCAAAGAAUAAGCACCGGCUAACUUCGUG